rnacentral:rRNA from 1 species
GUUGGUGGAGUGAUUUGUCUGGUUAAUUCCGUUAACGAACGAGACCUCGACCUACUAAAUAGUUCGGGUGAACCCUUCGGGGUUCCUACGUGACUUCUUAGAGGGACUAUCGGUGUGUAGCCGAUGGAAGUUCGAGGCAAUAACAGGU